AUAAUUAUAUUAAUUUGGCUUUUUAUCAAGAUCUUUGGUUUACAGGGUUGAAGUCAUCAUUUAAUGACAUGACCUAGCAAAAGACAGAUCUUGAAAUAGGUUAGGUAUGUAUGAAUGGAGUCUUGUCCAGUUGUCCCAAGGAUGUCCAAGUUUGACAUGGGUUCAGGAGGUCACUGGGUUCACGGAUAAGAAUACUCACAUAGUCAUGUAUCAUAGAGUAAAACCAGAAAUACUGUCUUCAUAUGUUUCAAAGUUAAAAGUUACUUUUUGAUAUUCUUUGUUUAAUUAUCUAGAGUUUGUGUGAAGUGAUAUAUUUAUAUAUCUAUAUAUAUGUAUUCAAUUAUGAGUUUAUUAUGCAUUUGUAAGUUUGGUAUAGAACUUCUGAAUCUUAAAGAUAUAUCUUAUGUAAGAAUUAGGCAUUUAACAGAAGGUCAACCCAAUGGUUUUAGUAGAAAACAGCUAUAUGUUGCUGUCAAUCAAAUCAGCUAGGUCAUCUCAAGGAGAUGCAGAUAUGGGGAUGAAGUUGUACAUUCUAUUUCUAAAGUUGAACAUGACAGAGUUAUGGGUGGAGUUGUGAGUUCGCUUUGGUUUAAACCAUAUUAAGCAUCCUUUUGAGAAAAGGCGUUACCAUGUAUUUAGCUGACAUAUGGGUUUUUAUAGUAUAAAGAGAGAGUUUAAACUGACAUAGGACACACUUACACACUCACCCACCAUUCGCAACACAUACACUUCAGAAGGACAGCAAGGACACUUUGUUUACUUAAGGCCUACACUCAAGCUUACCUCACAAACAGCUGUUCGAAGCUGACACUUCUCACACCACUGAAGCUAGACGAAGGAACUUUUACUAUGCUAUUCUUUAAGCUUAUACCUAACUAAUCUUCUGUUAUUACUACAACAAGCUGUAUGAAGAUUUGAACUUUGUAUGUAUUUACAAGUUGAUGCCAAGUGAGAUGCUAAUAAAACUCAUACUUUGAGUAAGCCCAGCUAUUUGAACUUUUGAAAGAAACGUCCUGCGAAAGAAGCUGUUGACAUAACACGUGUCUAAUUUAACUCUUCUUCAAUGGCGAGCCAGCUCAUUAAUCGGUUUUCCUAACACCUUGCCACAAGAGGGGGAAGAGACCCAUUCAUGAGUUCUCAAGUCGCAGGAAAACUCCGAUUAUAGAAUCUAGAAAGGACGUUUGCUCUUCAUCCUACAAGGACAAAAGAUUGAAGGAACCAAGCCGGCUAAGACGUGAAAUCCCACGACUAACGAUAUGGCAUCUGAUAACCAAACAUGGAGGAACACAAAACUCCAAGAAGAAAUAAAAGAAAAUUGGAAAGCAAGAAAAUACACAAAAAGGAGAAAAUUCAUUAUCUCAGGACUCCUUUUUCCAUUAAUGACAUUUUUCUUCAUAAAAACUUACUUGACUUUUUCAAGUUCAGCAGAAGAUAACAAGACUGAGACCCUGCAUAAAAGAGACUUGCAGCUAUCCAGAAAUAAGAGACACUUUCCAAGAUACAGUGACUUUGACACAAGCAAUGACAUAUAUGGAUACGCUUGCAUAGGAUAUGGGGUUACUUGUUGCAUGAGUUUUUACUUUUUCCAUAGCAACACCAUUGAAAUUCACGCCAGAAUAGAAUCCAAGAUCAUCAAAUUCUUUCUGGGCGAAUUUUAAGAAAACUAUAUCAGUUUGGGGAAACACUUCAGUAGUUACUGCAGCAGGAAAUAUAUUAUUGCAUCCAAUAGUUAUUAUUUUUAUUAUUAUGGUGUUAUGCAUAUUAUUUCAAAUCUGUAUAAUGAUUAAGAUGAAACAGUUUUACAAAUUACUUAAGAAAGAAAUGAAAAAAGGUGAAGAAAUCAUGACAAGUAUUCUUACUCGGAGAAUCACAUCUGGCUUAACUGAUCCGAUGGUAAACUGUGGUACAUCUGGAGCAACUGAUUCAAGAUGUGUGUGAAAGGGCCAUAAAUGAAGUGUGCGUGAUUUAGGUAAUAUAAUAAAUUAUAUUCAGGGGGAAUUGUAGAAUAAUUAUAUUAAUUUGGCUUUUUAUCAAGAUCUUUGGUUUACAGGGUUGAAGUCAUCAUUUAAUGACAUGACCUAGCAAAAGACAGAUCUUGAAAUAGGUUAGGUAUGUAUGAAUGGAGUCUUGUCCAGUUGUCCCAAGGAUGUCCAAGUUUGACAUGGGUUCAGGAGGUCACUGGGUUCACGGAUAAGAAUACUCACAGAGUCAUGUAUCAGAGUAAAACCAGAAAUACUGUCUUCAUAUGUUUCAAAGUUAAAAGUUACUUUUUGAUAUUCUUUGUUUAAUUAUCUAGAGUUUGUGUGAAGUGAUAUAUUUAUAUAUCUAUAUAUAUGUAUUCAAUUAUGAGUUUAUUAUGCAUUUGUAAGUUUGGUAUAGAACUUCUGAAUCUUAAAGAUAUAUCUUAUGUAAGAAUUAGGCAUUUAACAGAAGGUCAACCCAAUGGUUUUAGUAGAAAACAGCUAUAUGUUGCUGUCAAUCAAAUCAGCUAGGUCAUCUCAAGGAGAUGCAGAUAUGGGGAUGAAGUUGUACAUUCUAUUUCUAAAGUUGAACAUGACAGAGUUAUGGGUGGAGUUGUGAGUUCGCUUUGGUUUAAACCAUAUUAAGCAUCCUUUUGAGAAAAGGCGUUACCAUGUAUUUAGCUGACAUAUGGGUUUUUAUAGUAUAAAGAGAGAGUUUAAACUGACAUAGGACACACUUACACACUCACCCACCAUUCGCAACACAUACACUUCAGAAGGACAGCAAGGACACUUUGUUUACUUAAGGCCUACACUCAAGCUUACCUCACAAACAGCUGUUCGAAGCUGACACUUCUCACACCACUGAAGCUAGACGAAGGAACUUUUACUAUGCUAUUCUUUAAGCUUAUACCUAACUAAUCUUCUGUUAUUACUACAACAAGCUGUAUGAAGAUUUGAACUUUGUAUGUAUUUACAAGUUGAUGCCAAGUGAGAUGCUAAUAAAACUCAUACUUUGAGUAA